UACAGAGGGUGCGAGCGUUGUCCGGAAUCACUGGGCGUAAAGGGCGCGUAGGCGGCCUGAUAAGUAGGGGGUGAAAUCUUGCGGCUCAACCGCAAGGCUGCCUUCUAAACUGUCAGGCUGGAGCACGGUAGAGGCAGAUGGAAUUCCCGGUGUAGCGGUGGAAUGCGUAGAGAUCGGGAAGAACACCAGUGGCGAAAGCGCUCUACUGGGCCAUAACUGACACUGAGGGACGAAAGCUAGGGGAGCGAAAGGG
rnacentral:rRNA from 1 species